UGUUAAAAUUUUCAUCUAUUUCUAUAGUUAAAAAUUGACGUCACUGACAAAAUAACUAGAUUUUUCAUGUCGAUGUAUAGAGAUCAAUUUUUAAUUAUAAAAAUAGAUGAAAUUUUAAUA
rfam:Gossypium raimondii Chr06_contig_73, whole genome shotgun sequence.